UACAGAGGUCUCAAGCGUUGUUCGGAUUCAUUGGGCGUAAAGGGCGCGUAGGCGGCGGGGUAAGUCGGGUGUGAAAUCUCAGAGCUCAACUCUGAAACUGCACUCGAUACUGCUCUGCUUGAGGACUGGAGAGGAGGCUGGAAUUCACGGUGUAGCAGUGAAAUGCGUAGAUAUCGUGAGGAAGACCAGUGGCGAAGGCGGGUCUCUGGACAGUUCCUGACGCUGAGGCGCGAAGGCCAGGGGAGCAAACGGG
rnacentral:rRNA from 1 species